rnacentral:lncRNA from 1 species
AUGACAGCCUCCCCAAGAAGCUCCCCCGUGCUUUCCAAUGGGUCCUCUCCGCGGGAGACACCCUUCCUGCGGCCCCUCCCAGGCCACUGCCCCCCCCCCCCGCUGCCCUCGGAGGCCUCAGCAGCCCCAGGGUGCACCCCUGCCUCGCUUAUGGGGCCCUGGCCCCAGCCUCCGCCGAGACCUCAUCUCCCAUACCCUGCUCCAGCGCAGCCCCGACCUAGUCCCCUGGCCCCCGGGUGUCUUGGUGCCGCCUCCCCGAUGGCUGUCCAUCUGGCCCCAGGCAGAACGGGGCCACUUUGUCCUCCCAGUACGGGCCCUGCUGCAUGGGGGGCUCUGCACUCGAAGCCUGCACCACCCGCUCUCGCGGAGCUGGAUUCCUCCCUAGAGCCUCUCCUGGCCCGACGGGUUUCUCGGGGACAAGGAUGUCCCCGGCGUUCCUUAUGCCUCGCUCCGACCUGUGGGCCAGGGUGGAGCAGAGGGUCCUUCGGGGAGGAAGGAGGUCCCGGGCGCAAUGCCCUCUCCCCGGCAGAGCUGGGUGGGCGGAGUGGGGGCCGCCAUGCCGCCAUCCUCAGAGCCCACCGUGUCCUCUGCCCCUUGCCCAGCGUCGUGACUCUGCAGGACCUGAGCGUCCAGCUGGGAGAGUCUGUCCUGUACACGCAUCCCCGGGACUCCGUCUCCGCGGCGGUCAUCAGAGUCAUCCAGCACCCCUCCUUCAACGGGGAUGCACUCCAGGGUGGCAACGUGGCCCUGGUGAAGCUGGCGCGCCCCGUGGCCUUCUCCCGCACCACCAGACCCAUCCCUCUGGCUCCACCGGGCUCCUACUUCCCCGCAGGCACCCUCUGCUGGGUGACCGGCUGGGGGGGACUUCAGGCAGAAUGGUGGGUGAGGGACAGGGGUCUGGGGCAGAGGGAGGCACCGCAAAGGGGACUCCCCUCGGCCCCUCACCUCACCUUAGGGGCCGGCCUGGGCCACAUCCUGCACUGCUCAGCCGGCUUUGCUCAGGCAUCUGCCCCCCGUGACACGUGCGCCGGCCCGGGGGAGGACCCGCGGAGCUGCUGCCCUUGGCUCCUCCAGAGCGCAGGCUGGGGGCCUGGCGGGUCACCGCCAGGUGGGCCCUGA